rnacentral:rRNA from 1 species
GCAUAUCAAUAAGCGGAGGAAAAGAAACCAACAGGGAUUACCUCAGUAACGGCGAGUGAAGCGGUAACAGCUCAAAUUUGAAAUCUGGGCCCCUCAGGCUCCGAGUUGUAAUUUGUAGAAGAUGCUUUGGGUGCGGCCCCGGUCUAAGUUCCUUGGAACAGGACGUCAUAGAGGGUGAGAAUCCCGUAUGUGAUCGGUGGCUUGCGCCCGUGUAAAGCUCUUUCGACGAGUCGGGUUGUUUGGGAAUGCAGCUCUAAAUGGGUGGUAAAUUUCAUCUAAAGCUAAAUAUUGGCCAGAGACCGAUAGCGCACAAGUAGAGUGAUCGAAAGAUGAAAAGCACUUUGGAAAGAGAGUUAAACAGUACGUGAAAUUGUUGAAAGGGAAGCGCUUGCAACCAGACUUGCGCGGGGUUGAUCAUCCGGGGUUCUCCCCGGUGCACUCGGCCUCGCUCAGGCCAGCAUCGGUUUCGGUGGUUGGAUAAAGGCCUUGGGAAUGUGACUCCUCUCGGGGAGUGUUAUAGCCCUCGGUGCAAUGCAGCCUACCGGGACCGAGGACCGCGCUUCGGCUAGGAUGCUGGCGUAAUGGUUGUAAGCGACCCGUCUUGAAACACGGACCAAGGAGUCUAACAUCUAUGCGAGUGUUUGGGUGUCAAACCCAUACGCGUAAUGAAAGUGAACGGAGGUGAGAACCCUUAAGGGUGCAUCAUCGACCGAUCCUGAUGUCUUCGGAUGGAUUUGAGUAAGAGCAUAGCUGUUGGGACCCGAAAGAUGGUGAACUAUGCCUGAAUAGGGUGAAGCCAGAGGAAACUCUGGUGGAGGCUCGCAGCGGUUCUGACGUGCAAAUCGAUCGUCAAAUUUGGGCAUAGGGGCGAAAGACUAAUCGAACCAUCUAGUAGCUGGUU